rnacentral:rRNA from 1 species
CAGUCGCCACGGUAAUACGUAGGGUGCAAGCGUUAAUCGGAAUUACUGGGCGUAAAGCGUGCGCAGGCGGUUCGUUAAGACAGAUGUGAAAUCCCCGGGCUUAACCUGGGAACUGCAUUUGUGACUGGCGGGUUAGAGUAUGGCAGAGGGGGGUAGAAUUCCACGUGUAGCAGUGAAAUGCGUAGAUAUGUGGAGGAAUACCGAUGGCGAAGGCAGCCCCCUGGGAUAACACUGACGCUCAUGCACGAAAGCGUGGGGAGCAAACAGGAUUAGAUACCCCAGUAGUCCCUGUCUCUUAUAC